UGUGGAGUAAGAAAAAGCGAGGCUGAACUUGGAUUAAUCAAACCACUGAAGUCAGUUCUCUGACAGGGGCAGGUUUCCAGAUGCAGGCAGGUGGAGGCUGCCCCCAGGGAGGACUCAGCCCCCAAAGCGCUCGAUUUUCAUUAUCUGUGACAUCUCCAGCACCAUCCCAGUGUCCCGGUGCCACUUCGCCUCCGGCAUCUCCUCGUGGUUGAUGAAAAGCAGCUCUAAAUCCUCAUUACAGCACCAGGAGACCAGACACAUCGCUUCUGGGACAUCUGAAAUGGGAUGUCAUGUUCUGGGGGUGAAACCCAGCCCUUCAGCCAAGGUUUAUCCAAUAAUGAUGAUUUUUAGGUUUGGAUCCAUUUGUCAGGAGCCUGCGGUGCCUAUCCUCGCUUUGCUCUCUGGUGUAAUUCUGUCAAGCCAUGAUUAAUGUUAUCCAGGAGAAAAAUCAAUGUUUAUUUAUUCUAUCUGUCACAGAGUGGGAUUUUAGGAGCUGUUGAUCUCUCCCUGGUGAGCAGCAAGAUGGAGCCUGAAUUUAUCUUUUUAUCUCUAAAUGAAGAAUCACAUCUAGAGCACAGUGAGGUACUGAGAAAAUCGUGGACUCCCAUGUACGAAUGGUUGGAGGAGCACUAAGAAGAAGCCUUGAAAUUUAUUGCCCUUUGCUUCCCAGAGUUGAUGCUUCAGGAAAGCCCCUCCAGCUUGGGAAGGAGCUUUUGGCUCUGGACACAUUCCCAGUCCCCAGGAGCAGCAGGACCUGUGCUGUUCCCAGCAGGACAGGAAAAACCACUUAAGUCAUCCCAUCUCUGCCCAAAGCUUUGGUGUUUGAGCAGCCAAACCCAACAGGCUCCAGCCUGCACUGGAGGGCCCCUGGUCCUGCCCGUGGUGUGGGGUGAGUCCCCAGCUGUCCCCAGAGGGAUCUGCCCUGGUUUCAGGCUGUCCUUGCCUGGUCCCUGCAGUCCCCAAGGCUGAGACACAGAGAGAGCCCUGUCCCAAGGGGCCUUUGGCUCCUGGUCAGGAAUGUGGUGGCAGCCCCGGGGCAGGGGGAGCUGAGAAUGGGGCAGUGCCUGAGGCUGCUGCAGGCAGGGCAGUGUUUACCCUGGGGGCUGGCCCCACAGCUGAGUUCCAGCAGGAUCAGGGGCACAGAGGCUGCACUUUGUGCACCCAGGGAGUUUCUGUCCCCCCUGGAGCUUUCCUGCCGGGAUGUGGCAGCGCAGGGAGCACAAUGAAACCUGCAGCUCCGUGGCCAUUGCUGGCCUUUGUCCCUCUGUUGUGCCAUCAGCCUGUGGAAUUUGCUGCUGUCGCUGCCACUGCCACCCCAGCUGGGGGCUGUGUCCUCCUGGCAGCCCUUCCCAGCCCCAACACGAGCUCCAGUGGUGCCUCUGUGCCGUGUUGGGAGCGUUUGCUGGGAAUGUGCCUCAUCCCUGGGAGUAUCCUUGUGUUCCAGAGCAGACAGACUCCAGAGCCUUUGGGCUUGUCAGCUUCAGAGGUUGAUGAAACAGUCCCUGAAAGGAAGAAUGACAAUGAGGUUUGUCCAGGUGGUGCUUUCAGACCCCACCUGACAGUGUUGGCUUUGUGUUGGAGGUUGUUGUGCAUUUGCACUGCAGGGAACGAAUGUCCCCUUCCCAAUUCAGCCCAGCAGAUCCCAAAGGCUCUUACAGGAAUAUUUAUCCUUUACUUUCCUCUCUGAUAACUUAAUCUGCCAUUGAGCCAUUCCUUGAGUUCUCCUGGAGAAAACCUCACAGCAGAGGAGUUUGCAGAGGAGCCCAGAGCUGUGUUUGGAGCAGAGAGAGCUGAGAGCUGCAUCUGCCUGUGCUGCCCCAGCCUGGCAACAUCCACAUGGAACAGCCUGGGCAGAUGGGAUUAGAUGGAGCAAAAUCCCUUCAUGGAAGAGGUUUUCUCCUGUGCAGAUCAGGCAUGGGGCAGGCAGUGAACUUUGGAAAUCAGCUGAUUUCCCCAGAAAGCAUCACUCCCAUCAGCAGGAAUGACAGGCCCUGUGCCCACUGCUCAGGAUUCACCCAGCCAAAAUCAAGGGCAAGGUUGGUUUGGGUCUGAGAACUUGAAAUAAUUUCAAAAGAGAAGAAAUCACCUUUUUCUUCUUCCUUUCAGAUGCUGGAAUUGCCUCUGGAUGUGUGCUGAGCUCUCACUGCAGGGAACUGCCAGGCCUUAAUGGUUGUGAGUUUGUGUUCUUCUCACUGGGGAAUGAAUAAUUAUUAGUUAUUAGUUGCA